rnacentral:antisense_RNA from 2 species
UUUGAUGGUGGCUGUGCGCAGGGCAUCUUCGGGUGCGCCGGCUUCUUCAAUUCCCCGGUCCGACUAACCUGCGUACAGCCGCCACCCCU